rnacentral:rRNA from 1 species
GUCCUGGCCCUAAACGAUGUCUACUAGAUCGUAGCGGUUUUGACGCCGUUAUGGUCGCAGCAAAAGUGUUAAGUAGACCGCCUGGGAAGUACGGUCGCAAGGCUAAAACUCAAAGGAAUUUACGGGGGCUCACACAAGCGGUGGAGCAUGUGGUUUAAUUCGAAGCAACGCGAAGAACCUUACCUGGGCUUGACAUUUUAGGAUUAUCUCGAUGAAAGUCGAGUAGGCCUCGCAAGAGGUACAACUAGAACAGGUGCUGCAUGGCUGUCGU